GUAUAUCAAAUGACUGCUGUGGGCUUGUGGUAAACAGAAAACCAUGCUUUAAAUUGAAAAACCUUGUUAUAUGCCAUGUUUUUCAUUUAAUAAUAUUAAAAGCACUCUUGAAAUUGAACUUCUUGAAAAUAUGUUUCAUUGUUUUGUAAAAAUAUCUUAAGUUAUCUAUUCUAAAUUAUCUAUUCUUAUAUAAGAAAUACAAAUUAAAAUUGGUUAUUGGAAAUAAGUCAAUUAAAAGUCAAGGGAUAAUGAUGUAAUGUACUUAAAAAUGUCAAAACUGCUAUUGUCUCUAUUUGUAUUCUAGAUAUGUUAUAUCCUUAAACAAACAAAUACAAUGUUGUCUCCUUGUUGAAUAGGUGUUGUGUACCUCUGAACAUGUCAAGUCAUUUACUUUAGUAUUUUAAAUUAGUUCUCACUAUCUGCACCCGUAAGUCACUCAUGAAUUUUGUGUAAUAAACAUUGGAUAAAUAUAUUUUUAUAUAAUCAGUUAUAAGAUAAGGUGAAAAGUGUAUGUGCGUUAUAAGUAAUAAACAUUGGAUAAAUAUAUUUUUAUAUAAUCGAUUAUAAGAUAAGGUAAAAAGUGUAUGUGCGUUAUAAGAAAUAAACAUUGGAUAAAUAUAUUUUUAUAUAAUCGAUUACAAGAUAAGGUGAAUAGUGUAUGUGCGUUAUUAAAUUCAUCAGGUAUGACCAUACUGUGCUACAAGUUUUGUAAUUGUGACUAUUAAAAGUACAUGAUCUGCAAAAAAUGUCACUUAAACAAAUGUGUAUAUGUUUAUCAUUAUUAAAUUCUUUCCAACUAGA